AGAGUUUGAUCAUGGCUCAGAUUGAACGCUGGCGGCAUGCCUUACACAUGCAAGUCGAACGGCAGCGGGCCCUUCGGGGUGCCGGCGAGUGGCGAACGGGUGAGUAAUGCAUCGGAACGUACCCGGGAGUGGGGGAUAACCGGCCGAAAGGCUGGCUAAUACCGCAUGAACUCGGAAGAGCAAAGCGGGGGACCUUCGGGCCUCGCGCUCUCGGAGCGGCCGAUGUCCGAUUAGCUAGUUGGUGAGGUAAAGGCUCACCAAGGCGACGAUCGGUAGCGGGUCUGAGAGGACGAUCCGCCACACUGGGACUGAGACACGGCCCAGACUCCUACGGGAGGCAGCAGUGGGGAAUCUUGGACAAUGGGCGCAAGCCUGAUCCAGCAAUGCCGCGUGGGUGAAGAAGGCCUUCGGGUUGUAAAGCCCUUUCGGCGGGGAAGAAAUCGGCCGGGCGAAUAGUUUGGCUGGAUGACGGUACCCGCAGAAGAAGCACCGGCUAACUACGUGCCAGCAGCCGCGGUAAUACGUAGGGUGCGAGCGUUAAUCGGAAUUACUGGGCGUAAAGGGUGCGCAGGCGGCUGUGUAAGACCGGUGUGAAAUCCCCGGGCUCAACCUGGGAAUGGCGCUGGUGACUGCACAGCUCGAGUACGGUAGAGGGGGGUGGAAUUCCUGGUGUAGCAGUGAAAUGCGUAGAGAUCAGGAGGAACACCGAUGGCGAAGGCAGCCCCCUGGGCCUGUAC
rnacentral:rRNA from 1 species